UCCCCUAAGAAGCCUUCUCUGACCACUCCAGGGCACAAUGAUCUCAAGGUUCAGCAUCUCCAGAGAUGAGCUUUCCAAAUACCUGAUGAAGAUAUGCAUGUUGUUGGCUAUUUAAACUACUCCUUAUAGGAGCAUGUUCUUUGGAAAGUUCAGGAUGAAACUUUAGGAAAGAAGAACAAGCCAUUGCAUCAUGUACUAUGCCUUCAUGCCAGAGGAAGGAAGCAAACACAGCUCUGGCACAUUCGGCCACAGAAGGAGACAUGGCUUGCUUGGCUGGCUCUAAAGGCUUGGAUCCAUCUCCUUUGAAAAGAAAACUCGAUUUUUCUUUUUUGGGCCUGGUGUGUCUAUUAGCACAUUUUCGACUUAUUUUGGGAGAUGCUCUCAUUUCCUGUUCAUCUUUCAGUGGUGCUUUUCCAAUGCUAAAAUGAACUUUAUUUGAACCUUCAUCCACACUCUUAAAUUCACUGCUGUCAUCGCAGGUGCUGUCUGUUAGACUAUUUGUUUUUAAAGUACUUGAGGUGCAGACUUCGACCACCUCACUGUGGAGGUUUUCCUGUACCACAUGGGGAGAGGGAGCUCUAUUUUCAGAUCCAGGGGAAUCUGUAGAAUCCUUUGGUACUGAUUUUGGUUUUGGUGACGUUGACCGUCCUCUCAAAGGUUCUGUGAGGGGCAUUUUCUUCUUGCGGAGGGUAUCUGGAUCAAGUGUGUAAGAGUCUG
ensembl:lncRNA MYCBP2-AS1 MYCBP2 antisense RNA 1